GGCGGGGCUGCACUCGACAACCAGCGCGCCGAGAAGGCACAUUUUGUGCCCUCCCCGCCUCCAAAUUGCCUCAGUUACAAAUCAGAAGGCAGGCUUGGUGACCAGGACUGGCAAGCACAUUUUAAAGUCCCAUGCUGUGGAGUUGAUCCAUCUCAACUUGAGUCAGAAGAGGCAGAAGUGGAUGUGAGAGAAAGAGACACACAGAGAGACAGAGAGCCAAAGAGGGCAAGAGACUUGACUUUAAGAGACUCCUGUACUGACAACUCCAUGCAGUUCGGAACCAGAACGACUGCGGCUGGACCAGGGUUCAUGGGGACAUGGCAAAACGCUGAUACUAACCUCUUAUUCAGAAUGUCCCAACAGAUCAACAGAAGAGAUUCUUGGGUCCUAGAGACCAAAGAAAGAAUCAGCAGGAAUGCCCAGGGUGAAUGAUGGAUUGCAGAGCCUGGCUGAACUCAACAAAAAUCCAGUGGGAGGCUUUUCAGCAGGUUUAAUAGACGACAAUGAUCUCUAUUGUUGGGAAGUCCUUAUUAUUGGUCCUCCAGAUACACUUUAGAAAAACAGUGGCUCUGUCAGCAACCAUGGCACAGGAAGGUCACCUUUUCAUCCUGGUGCUAACAUCCAGCUGGAGUGGCGGUAUUACCAAAAUAAAAUCCUGAAAGGAGAAGCAGGUACACAUGAGUGUUUAAAAGCCAUGACAGGAAAACUCGAAGAUCUCAGGGAAGUCUGUUUUUUGAAGUGUUCAGGAACGAGAGGUGUUUUAUUAUCUUUAGUGUGAUGUUUUCUACCAUUUUUGUACGAGGAGUUUUUCCUGUGUUGAAUUUUGGUUCUUAAGUUGGAAAGUAAAGCAACCUAGUAAUAUUCUUCAUUCCUACCUUUGCUCUCUUUUUUUAAUGUGUUGUUUUCCCUUUAUUGUUUAUGAAAAUGAAACCAUAUCUUUGUAAUAAUAAAAACUUUGAGGUGAUGCAUCAAAUUAUUCUAAUAAACUUAUGAUUGUGCCUAUGUAAAUUAUAUUUCCAUAGUACUAGUUAUUUUUACUUAGCAUUUGUCCUUGGCAAAAUGGCUUUUUGUAAUUCCUUUUAUAUCUCGGUCUCAACUUUAAGUCAGGAUAUUAAGCCUUGUGUCUGACAGUUAAAAAUAAACAUGAAACACUGCUUGUCUUUUU